rnacentral:rRNA from 1 species
CACGGGUGAGUAACACGUAUCCAACCUGCCGUCUACUCUUGGCCAGCCUUCUGAAAGGAAGAUUAAUACAAGAUGGCAUCAUGAGUCCACAUGUUCACAUGAUUAAAGGUAUUCCGGUAGACGAUGGGGAUGCGUUCCAUUAGAUAGUAGGCGGGGUAACGGCCCACCUAGUCUUCGAUGGAUAGGGGUUCUGAGAGGAAGGUCCCCCACAUUGGAACUGAGACACGGUCCAA